GAGGAUGCAGUCCGACAGCUGGAGGUGGAGCAUUCGGCUAAGAUCGUUAUAGAAACGCUGCCAGAGUCCAACGAGCAACUGCCCAAUAUCCAGGAGGAGGAAAACGAGGACGACCCAGAGAGCCUGAUGGACGUCCGUCUGGCUGAAGACGACGUCACUCCUUCAUCAACAGACGUGGAGCCAGCAUCGGAGAGGAGAGACCCGGAGAGUCCGAUCCCCCAAACAAUCACCCAACAACCAGAGUCACAAGCUGGAGAAAGCACCGUCACAGAUCAGGUGAAAGUCUUUACAUCCUGCAACAUCCUCGUUCCAUGUUUCUCAUCGACAGCACAACAAUUAAAGCAUCAUUUGGGUUUAAUACAACUCGGGCUCUUAUUUUAUUUC